GCGCGGGCCGUGCCCAGCUCGCGGGGUGCCGAGCAGCCGGGAGACCCCAGACAGUUCCGCCCUCCCGGGGGCUGCGUGGGUCCGGGCUGAAUCCCGGGAGGGCACGCGCGCACCCCUUCGCGGGGGCGUGCACCGUUCUGUGGGGAUUUUUCACGUCCCAAGUGCUUUUCUUUCUUUGUUUUCCUCACUAAGCAUCGCAGAGAUGGAAGCUUGCAACGACCUUGGCGACCCAACUUGGCCGACGUGCGUCCUCCUCGCUUUACCUGGGGACACAGGCUUUGCCCGUCCGUGGGGGCCAGACCUCCGGGUGGUCUCAUUUCCUGCCGUCUCCUGCCGCUGGGGGGGGCGGGGGGCGCCUCCCGGGCCGGGCUUAGCCCCGAACCCCCGCAAGUCUGGCACUUGAGCAUUUCAGAGGGAACGCUUUUCUUAAGGAGGUGGAUUCUAUGAUACAAAGAAGUUCUGGAAGCUGGAGAUGGAAGGUGCUGGCAACGUUGGUUCCUGAACCCCCGGAUUUGGAGGCACACCAGCUUGAGAAGCACUGGCUCCAGGACCUACAGAGGUUGACUGCACUCCCUGUGGGACACCUUCAUAAAUACUGAUUCUCUUGGCCAAACUUCUGCUACGCACAUAAUGGACCGCAGUCAGGUUAAAAUGCCAUUCCCUGACAUCGAUUUAAAAUGUGGCUAAUCUGUUCUUUGCCACAUCUGCUGCGAGAACAAAGACCAUUCUCAGCAAUCAGGCUUUGGACGGUCAAAGAAAUGUCGACCCUGCUCUGCAGGGACGCGCUGCUAACGUGAAGGGCCCCACAGGAACCCUGCCAAAGGACUUCAAUCACAUCAGCAUAGAACUCGGUCUCCUUGGAAAGGAGAAGAAGAGGCUCCGAGUUGACAAAUGGUAGGAACCAGAAGAGAACUGGCUACUGUCUGCACCAACUGUAGUCGUGUGCAGAAGGUGAUCGAGGGUGUUACUCUGGGCUUCCGGUACAAGAUGAGGUGACUGAGGAAGUGUAUGCUCACUUCCCCAUUAACGUUGUUAUCUAGGAGAAGGGUUCUCUUCUCGAAAUCCGAAAUUUCUCGGGUGAAAAAAUACAUCUGCAGGGCUUGGAUGAGGCCAGGUGUUGCUUGUUCUGAAUCUCAAGCCCAGAAAGAGGAGUUAAUUCUUGAAGGAAAUGACCUUGAACUUGUAUCAAAUUCAACUGCUUUGAUUCAGCAAGCUACAACUGUUAAAAACACGGCUAUCAGAAAAUCCGCGGUGCUAUGUAUGUUUCUGAAAAAGGAACGGUUCAGCAGGCUGAUGGGUAAGAUCUAAGCUGUCCAGCUACAGAAGCAGCAGGAUGCCAGAUGAUUUUUUUUUAGACUUAUUUGUGAGAGUUUAAAGAUGCAAUAAUAGCUGUAUUGACCCGGGGGAUUUUUCUUAAAAAAAAAAAAAUGCAGCUAAUCUUCAAAAUGGCAAGUGCAGGAUGGUCUUCUUUACUGUUAGCUGCACUGAGGACCCUGUUGCAUCGUCUUACAAAAACCAGGUGGCUUCAACAGCAGACCAACCUCACUACCACCACAGACUUUGGAACAAAAAGCUCAAUAUAACUUUCCUUUGGGUCACAGAAUUGCAUGCUUGUGUGGUUGCUCACUAUGGAAAAUUCAAAAUGAGUCUGGGCGAGCCUCCUAGCCAGGGUCCCAGGAGACGACAGAAUGUUCUGGAACUUUGAGGGGAUCUGGAAGUUCUCUGCCAAGAAGAGUGUGACGGUGAAGGUCUAGGGACAGACCACACAAUCCUCUUUAGUUAGCUUAGUUAUGAUCACCCGGUGUUGAGCAGCUUAAGGACAAGGAAGCAGGUAGUAGGAAGAGUCUCUAAGGAGCAGAAGGGUCCCUGAAGAAUCGCCCUGGGAGGGGAGCUGCUGUGCCGUGUCCACCACCGCAGGAAGCUGCCACCACAGCUGCCCGGUGCUCUUGAAGCUGGAGCCUGCCGCAAGCCAUCAAGGCCCAGCUGUCCCAGAAGGACCGCGUUCCUGUCUCUCUGUCCUUCUGGAAGGGUCCUGCCUUCUGAAGGGUGGCGCCUUCUGCCUUCUGAGCCUCCUGGGGGUGCUCCUGCUUGGUAGGAACUAGGUCACAUGAGAAGCCCAACUGCCAGGGCAUCUGCUACAGCCAGCCUCAUUGUUGGUCCGCUGUCACAGCCAGUGACUUCACAUGACUGUGUCCUCAGAGCACGGCACAAUGACUGCAGGGCAAAGCCACCCCAGGGUCUGGGGUGCUUUGGACCGAAGCAGCUCCUAGCUGGUUUCACCUCUUAUCCCAGAGUGCUCUGAGGGCUCUGUCACUCAGACUAGGCUCCUGUGCUCGAGGGGCCGGGGAAGGAGAUGGGGGAGCUGGAGAGGCCCCGGGCCCCGGGCAUGGGGAAGAGAGUAUCUGAUUGCAGGGCCAGGGGCCGGGCCGGCUCUGAGGACCGAAGCUGCAGGAAGUCUGGCAGAGACAGCCACCCCGGCUGUGUCAGUGACAAUCUCAGGGCAAAGAGCACCCCCUGACCUCCGUGCCCUGUCCCCCUGCCUCUUCCAAAAUGCCAUGCUGCUCUGAACACAAGGACUCCGCUGGACUUGGCCAUGGACCUGCAGUUUUGAGUCCUGGGUCUUGUCCUUGAGCGGCUGAGGAUGGAGAGGGAAGAGGGCAUGAGCGUGCUGGGCAUCAGGCAGGGAGCAGGACGCCCUGAGAGAGAAGGGGGCGGGGAGGUGGCCCGCGGGAGCACCCAGGGGGAGCACUUAUGCUUUCCCUGGAUUUGGGAUCGAGUCUCAGGUAUGUCAAGACGUCAUUUCAGUUUCUAUCUGAAAAAGGAUCUGAAAAGGGAUCUACGCGGUUGACUGAGUGUUCCCCCCCCCCCCCCAUGGUUUUAGUAAACUCUGCUAGUUCUCAGAUAACACCAUUUGGGCGCAGGCUGUUCUUGCUUUCACACGAGCAGUAGGAAUCACGCUGGCCUUGGCCCUGGUCAGAUUGCUCAUCAGCAGUCACUGCUCGUAGGAGGUAAAAUAAGGAAGUAAAGAGCUUUCUUACAAACAUCAAAGGCUUAUCAACAGCAGACUGACAAUGGUAGAAGCAUCUAGAAGUGGAGUGCCUGCUGCGUGGCAGGUGUUUCGUUUUCAUUGUGGUGUCCCACUUAUCUGCUGAAGCAGGAAGGCCUUUCCCAUUCUGUGGUGGUCCACGUUGGAAGUCGCUGGCCCCGCUGAGGGGCUGUAGCUCCCUCUUCUCCCUCCCAUCGGCUCGCCCUCCCUUCCUCCGGGGUCCCCAGGAACAGCUAGAGGAGAGAGUGGCUCCAGCCUGGGGCCCAGCCUGCCCCCACUCUCCUGGCAGUGCUCCCUGCCUGAGGGACCCCUGUAAGACAGAGCUGUCCUUCUGUGGUGUGGGACAAACAAUCUCCAGGCCGAGGACAGAAGCCGCCUGGUCUGGGAGUGAGCCAGCUGAGGCAGGGUUGUGGGAAGAGGAUUUCUAAGCCUCUCCCAUGCUGCUUUGCAUGCAGCCUCUGAUGUGGCUAAUGUGGGUGUGGGGCUCAGGUGCCUUGCAAACUUCUGCUGUCUUCCCAGCGUGAGAUGAGCAAGCCCUUCACUUGUCUAGGCCUCAGUUUCUUCAUUUUAAAAUGAGGGGAGUCAUACCCACCUCAUAAAUGUACUGAGAGGUACACAGUAGCGUCUAAUAUAUGGUAGUUCCUGACUGAGUGCAAAUGAGCAGAGUGUUUUAGGGGUUUGUGGCCACCGGCCUUGCUCCUGAAACUGUGAGGAGCCAGUUGCCCAAGGAGGAGUCAAGGAUAGGCUCUGCGGGAGGUGGGGAGUCCCAGCCCCCCUGUUCCAGCCGGGACACGCCCUAGGAUGUUGGCCCAUCCGACUGGCUGGCCGAGCUUUGGGGCUCCCCUGUAUCCUCAGGAGGGUGGGGAGUUGCCGGGAUGGGGGUUCUGCGGUGCCCACCCUCUGGGAUAUCUCUCCGGCCCCUAACACGUGUCCCCAUCCGGAGGAACUCUGCUUCUUCUCCAUCUACACAGUUACCUGGGUGACAGCCUGUCACAGGAGCCUGACCCCACCGGAGCUGGCCACGUAACAUCUCCCUGGGGAAUGUGGGGUCGAGCGCUUACCCGUUCUGUCAGCACCCGGGCUCUUCGGUAGGACAGCCGUCAACUCCGGAGGGCCACGGGUUAUGGCCAGUCCCCUGGUCACCAUUUUUGUCGGUUUGCUGGUUUGUUUUUUUAAGGCUCCCAAACCUACAGAAAGGUUGCAAGACUUCACUCAACAGGCAUAUGCUCUUCACCGAAGUUUAUCAGUUGUUGACAUUUUUAUCCACAUUUGCUUGGUUUCUAUUUAUAUAGAGCACACAUUUUGUGGUUGCCAAACCAUUUGCAGGUGACUUUCAGACCUCGUGACACUUUACCCCACAUACACCUCUUAGGAACAGGGACAUGGUCCUGCGUAACCUUGAUAGAAUGAUUGUGCUGUGCGAAUCUAACAUCGGUACGAUGCUCGGCCUACUAUUUAGUGCCUAUCCUCUGAUAUGCAGUCUGCAAAGUGUCCUCUAGAGCUGCUUUUGCUUUGUCGUGAGAGAUGGUCCCGACGACGCUCUGCGCUGCCUUUAACGUAUGUCGCGUCCUCAGCCGUCCCGUGUCCCUUAUGACAUUGACGGUUGAAGAGUCAAGGCCGGCCGUUUGGCAGAAUGGACCUCAGCUGGGGUGUGCCCGGUGUGUCUUCACGAUGUGGCUCAGGUUACGGGGAGCGGGGAGGGGGUGCUCCGUGUGUGGGUGCUCCUCCCCAGCGGGUCACCUCAGGAGGCACCUGCUGUCCGCUGUCCUCUGGUUGGGGAGGUUAAAUUUAAUAAUGUGGUUAAUGGGAAUCUCCCAGACUUCACCGUUUAUCCCUUCCUAAGAAUCUUUCACAUAAUUCUUUCAACGUCUUUUACUGAUUCUUACCUAAAUUAGAUAAAAUGGCGAUUUUCUGUUUUCAUCAUUUAUUCUACGUUCUUCGGUAGAGAGGAGCUUUUCUUCCUGUACUUAAAAAACUUAAAACUUAUUGAUA
rnacentral:lncRNA from 1 species